CUCCAGCUGCAUUCCCACCAAGCAAUAAAGUUAGUCGAUCUUUUGCCGGGCAUUGAUGAUUCUUCUUUUGCAAUGUAGCUUCUUGGUGGCAUGCACUUUCAAAAGAGACCAGUUUCAUCCACAUUGAAAACCUGUGAUGGCAAGUAAUUUCCCUCUUCCAAUAUUUCUGCCAACUUAGCAGGAAAUAAUUUAGCCACUUCUGUAUCGGCACUUGCUGAUUCUCCACGGAUUUUUAUGUUAUGCCAACCAGCUCUUUUUUUUGUACCGAUCAAACCACCCACUGCUUGCAGAAAAUGUUUCUUCAAUGUUGCCUCCUUUUCUUUGUUUCAGCAUCUCAAAAAGUGAUAAAGCUUUAGCACAAAUGGUAGCAUAGGUAACCGGCAUAUGGA